rnacentral:rRNA from 1 species
GGGUUGUGAGGUUAAGCGACUAAGCGUACACGGUGGAUGCCCUGGCAGUCAGAGGCGAUGAAGGGCGUGCUAAUCUGCGAUAAGCGCCGGUAAGGUGAUAUGAACCGUUAUAACCGGCGAUACCCGAAUGGGGAAACCCAGUGUGACUCGUCACACUAUCAUUAACUGAAUCCAUAGGUUAAUGAGGCGAACCGGGGGAACUGAAACAUCUAAGUACC